rnacentral:misc_RNA from 1 species
ACAACAGUUUUGGGAAGGUCAUCCGGUGAAUACAUAUUGGGAGGAUGAGUUGAACCAGAAAAGGAUACCUCAUCAGAUUGACCAGCACGCAUUCGUUUCAUCAAAUGCUCUGAUUCGGCCAUUUGAAAGUCCAUUCCAGGACCGCCUGGGUUAGCUCUUGGAUGUUUUAGAAAGCCAGCAGCACCAGGAGCCUGCACGAGUCCAGGGGGACCAGGAGCAACAGCAGUGUGAGACAUA